rnacentral:rRNA from 1 species
CUACGGGCCGCUGCAGUGGGGAAUCUUAGACAAUGGGGGAAACCCUGAUCUAGCCAUGCCGCGUGAGCGAUGAAGGCCUUAGGGUUGUAAAGCUCUUUCAGCUGGGAAGAUAAUGACGGUACCAGCAGAAGAAGCCCCGGCUAACUCCGUGCCAGCAGCCGCGGUAAUACGGAGGGGGCUAGCGUUGUUCGGAAUUACUGGGCGUAAAGCGCACGUAGGCGGACUAUUAAGUGAGGGUGAAAUCCCGGGGCUCAACCCCGGAACUGCCUUCGAUACUGGUAGUCUUGAGGUCGAGAGAGGUGAGUGGAAUUCCGAGUGUAGAGGUGAAAUUCGUAGAUAUUCGGAGGAACACCAGUGGCGAAGGCGGCUCACUGGCUCGAUACUGACGCUGAGGUGCGAAAGCGUGGGGAGCAAGCAGGAUUAGAUACCCCCGUAGUC